GACGAACGCUGGCGGCGUGCCUAAUACAUGCAAGUCGAACGAACUCUGGUAUUGAUUGGUGCUUGCAUCAUGAUUUACAUUUGAGUGAGUGGCGAACUGGUGAGUAACACGUGGGAAACCUGCCCAGAAGCGGGGGAUAACACCUGGAAACAGAUGCUAAUACCGCAUAACAACUUGGACCGCAUGGUCCGAGUUUGAAAGAUGGCUUCGGCUAUCACUUUUGGAUGGUCCCGCGGCGUAUUAGCUAGAUGGUGGGGUAACGGCUCACCAUGGCAAUGAUACGUAGCCGACCUGAGAGGGUAAUCGGCCACAUUGGGACUGAGACACGGCCCAAACUCCUACGGGAGGCAGCAGUAGGGAAUCUUCCACAAUGGACGAAAGUCUGAUGGAGCAACGCCGCGUGAGUGAAGAAGGGUUUCGGCUCGUAAAACUCUGUUGUUAAAGAAGAACAUAUCUGAGAGUAACUGUUCAGGUAUUGACGGUAUUUAACCAGAAAGCCACGGCUAACUACGUGCCAGCAGCCGCGGUAAUACGUAGGUGGCAAGCGUUGUCCGGAUUUAUUGGGCGUAAAGCGAGCGCAGGCGGUUUUUUAAGUCUGAUGUGAAAGCCUUCGGCUCAACCGAAGAAGUGCAUCGGAAACUGGGAAACUUGAGUGCAGAAGAGGACAGUGGAACUCCAUGUGUAGCGGUGAAAUGCGUAGAUAUAUGGAAGAACACCAGUGGCGAAAGCGGCUGUCUGGUCUGUAACUGACGCUGAGGCUCGAAAGUAUGGGUAGCAAACAGGAUUAGAUACCCUGGUAGUCCAUACCGUAAACGAUGAAUGCUAAGUGUUGGAGGGUUUCCGCCCUUCAGUGCUGCAGCUAACGCAUUAAGCAUUCCGCCUGGGGAGUACGGCCGCAAGGCUGAAACUCAAAGGAAUUGACGGGGGCCCGCACAAGCGGUGGAGCAUGUGGUUUAAUUCGAAGCUACGCGAAGAACCUUACCAGGUCUUGACAUACUAUGCAAAUCUAAGAGAUUAGACGUUCCCUUCGGGGACAUGGAUAC
rnacentral:rRNA from 2 species